rnacentral:rRNA from 1 species
UACAGAGGGUGCAAGCGUCGUCCGGAAUUAUUGGGCGUAAAGAGCUCGUAGGCGGUUUGUCGCGUCGGCUGUGAAAACCCGGGGCUCAACCCCGGGCCUGCAGUCGAUACGGGCAAACUAGAGUGUGGUAGGGGAGACUGGAAUUCCUGGUGUAGCGGUGAAAUGCGCGGAUAUCAGGAGGAACACCGGUGGCGAAGGCGGGUCUCUGGGCCAUAACUGACGCUGAGGAGCGAAAGCGUGGGGAGCAAACAGG